rnacentral:lncRNA from 10 species
GUUUGCUAGGUAACUGAAGAACACUCCAAGAGGAUGGAAUAAAUGUGUUAAAGCAACAGAGACAUUCAAGAACAUUCAUUAUAUCUGGUGUGCAGUAUGUACAAAAGAGUAAUAAACAAGGAAGCUAUUAAGCUGGGAUGUUCUAGAUCGUGUAGGUACAUGUACCUGCUAAGCAGUACAGACUUUGUCAGCAUGGGGAGACAUUAGGGGGUUUUAAAUGAGGGAGUAAUAGGAUGAGAUUUACAUAUGAGAAAAAUUCCUCUGGUAAUUACUGUAAUGGAUGGCUUUAGGAGGUUAGACAAAAAAUAACAAUGGACUAGGAUAGUAGCAGUGAAGAUGGAGAGAACGGGACAAAUUUGAGAAUUAUUUGGAAGACUAAAUGAGCAAAAAUCGGCGAGAAAGAAAAGGAAAGAGUGACAGAGAGAUUGAAUAUUGUAAUAUAUCAAGGGGGAAGGAGUCAAUAAAAAAAUUAGAAAUCACAAGAGUUAGGAAGCAAGAAAGGUUCUAGAGCACAGGUGUAUGGAUCAAUAUUGAACGACAACAAGGAAGGUGGUAAAGGAUAGGUGUCAACACAGAUGCUGGCAGGAAACAGCAGAAGAGAAGAAAGUUGAGAUGAAGAAAAAAAUAUGAACGAAGGCAAUGAAGUAAGGGGAAGAUGGAGACAACUUUUAGGGCUUUUACUAUAGGUUCACUGUUUCUAAUA